AUUACUUUGGCAGAUUAGUGCUAUGAAUUUAGAAUUCAUGAAUGUAAUUUUUUAUUACAAGUAAUA
rnacentral:tRNA from 1 species